CUGACAUUGAGAUAGAUUGGUUAGCGCGUGAGACUUUUAAUCUCAAGGCUCAGGGUUCGAGUCCCUGGUCGGG